UGGCUCAAUGGUAGAGCGUUCGACUCAAAUACCGAAGGUCGUGGGUUCGAAUCCCAG
rfam:Schistocephalus solidus strain NST_G2 genome assembly, scaffold: SSLN_contig0025073